CUUUUUGAAAUGUCUUCUUCUUCACAGGCUUUAGGAGACCCUUCCAUUUCCUCUCCAAACCAACAACCAUGGCUUCACCCUCCUCACCACCAAAUCCUUCAGCACACGCCACUUAACUCCCCUUCUUCAUCUAUCACUUCCUCACAGCUACCAAAUCACUGGAAAUCUGGCAUUCAUCAGCUCCCCCUUUCUCUUCGAUUUUUUUUAUCUCAUCUCUAACCUUGGAAAAAUGGAAACAAAGACCUGACAAGCUUGGAGACCAAAAGCACUAGAAAAACCGAAUUUCAAAGAAGAUCUGAAAAGGAGUUUGGUCGCUGAAAUGUUAAAAUUCGACUUCCUCCUUUCUCUGGGCUCGUAUGAAGUUGUGAAUGGACUGUGUGUUGCUGAACUUCCUGUUCCCAAUUUAUAAAGUUCUAUUCAUCUUCAUCGCUAUCUUUACUUGGUUAUUUGGGACUGUAUUACUGCCGCUAAGGCGAAACACAUCUUGAGAGUACAAAAAUCUUUGCUAGGAAGUUGGCUUAUCGUUACAGCGCAAGGACCAACCAAACUCUUGAAGAGCGCGAAGCACGCCAAUCAUUCAUUUAAAAAGUUCAUGGGAAAAGUUCUUCUGCAUAGUUCAUUACUAAUAAGGUUUUCUGGCAUGUUAGAUCAACAAUGUCUUGAUUCAACUUUAUGCCAAAAGAGGGGAUGCAGUCAUUAAUCUUGCUUGCGGGAAGGUAGUUCUUGCCUAUUGUGUAUCUCAAUUAUCUGGCAGUACGACCUGUUAAUUUAUUUAGGUGGUAAUAAACAAGUCGCAUUGUUCAAAUGUCUUUCUAUUUAAACCAUGGUGAUGAUCUUAUUAAAUGAGAUAAAGCAAAGAUUGGAUAUGAUGUUGGGAUUGA